GGGUUGUGAGGUUAAGCGACUAAGCGUACACGGUGGAUGCCCUGGCAGUCAGAGGCGAUGAAGGACGUGCUAAUCUGCGAAAAGCUCGGUAAGGUGAUAU
rnacentral:rRNA from 1 species